GAAAAUCAUUUUAUCUCUACCCUGAACAAGCCCAAUCCCGUCUGAUCUCAGAAGCUAAGCAGGGUCGAGCGUGGUUAGUACUUGGAUGGGACACCACCUAGGAAGACCAGGUGCUGUAGUCG
rnacentral:rRNA from 1 species